rnacentral:rRNA from 1 species
GCUCCAGCUUGCUGGAGUGGAUCAGUGGCGAACGGGUGAGUAACACGUGAGCAACCUGCCCCGAACUCUGGGAUAAGCGCUGGAAACGGCGUCUAAUACCGGAUACGCACCAGGAGGGCAUCUUCUCUGGUGGGAAAGAUUUUUUGGUUCGGGAUGGGCUCGCGGCCUAUCAGCUUGUUGGUGAGGUAACGGCUCACCAAGGCGUCGACGGGUAGCCGGCCUGAGAGGGUGACCGGCCACACUGGGACUGAGACACGGCCCAGACUCCUACGGGAGGCAGCAGUGGGGAAUAUUGCACAAUGGGCGCAAGCCUGAUGCAGCAACGCCGCGUGAGGGAUGACGGCCUUCGGGUUGUAAACCUCUUUUAGCAGGGAAGAAGCGAAAGUGACGGUACCUGCAGAAAAAGCGCCGGCUAACUACGUGCCAGCAGCCGCGGUAAUACGUAGGGCGCAAGCGUUAUCCGGAAUUAUUGGGCGUAAAGAGCUCGUAGGCGGUCUGUCGCGUCUGCUGUGAAAACCCGAGGCUCAACCUCGGGCCUGCAGUGGGUACGGGCAGACUAGAGUGCGGUAGGGGAGAUUGGAAUUCCUGGUGUAGCGGUGGAAUGCGCAGAUAUCAGGAGGAACACCGAUGGCGAAGGCAGAUCUCUGGGCCGUAACUGACGCUGAGGAGCGAAAGGGUGGGGAGCAAACAGGCUUAGAUA